GCGGUAGCACAGAGAGCUUGCUCUCGGGUGACGAGCGGCGGACGGGUGAGUAAUGUCUGGGAAACUGCCUGAUGGAGGGGGAUAACUACUGGAAACGGUAGCUAAUACCGCAUAACGUCGCAAGACCAAAGUGGGGGACCUUCGGGCCUCAUGCCAUCAGAUGUGCCCAGAUGGGAUUAGCUGGUAGGUGGGGUAACGGCUCACCUAGGCGACGAUCCCUAGCUGGUCUGAGAGGAUGACCAGCCACACUGGAACUGAGACACGGUCCAGACUCCUACGGGAGGCAGCAGUGGGGAAUAUUGCACAAUGGGCGCAAGCCUGAUGCAGCCAUGCCGCGUGUGUGAAGAAGGCCUUCGGGUUGUAAAGCACUUUCAGCGGGGAGGAAGGCGGUGAGGUUAAUAACCUCAUCGAUUGACGUUACCCGCAGAAGAAGCACCGGCUAACUCCGUGCCAGCAGCCGCGGUAAUACGGAGGGUGCAAGCGUUAAUCGGAAUUACUGGGCGUAAAGCGCACGCAGGCGGUCUGUCAAGUCGGAUGUGAAAUCCCCGGGCUCAACCUGGGAACUGCAUUCGAAACUGGCAGGCUAGAGUCUUGUAGAGGGGGGUAGAAUUCCAGGUGUAGCGGUGAAAUGCGUAGAGAUCUGGAGGAAUACCGGUGGCGAAGGCGGCCCCCUGGACAAAGACUGACGCUCAGGUGCGAAAGCGUGGGGAGCAAACAGGAUUAGAUACCCUGGUAGUCCACGCUGUAAACGAUGUCGAUUUGGAGGUUGUGCCCUUGAGGCGUGGCUUCCGGAGCUAACGCGUUAAAUCGACCGCCUGGGGAGUACGGCCGCAAGGUUAAAACUCAAAUGAAUUGACGGGGGCCCGCACAAGCGGUGGAGCAUGUGGUUUAAUUCGAUGCAACGCGAAGAACCUUACCUGGUCUUGACAUCCACAGAACUUUCCAGAGAUGGAUUGGUGCCUUCGGGAACUGUGAGACAGGUGCUGCAUGGCUGUCGUCAGCUCGUGUUGUGAAAUGUUGGGUUAAGUCCCGCAACGAGCGCAACCCUUAUCCUUUGUUGCCAGCGGUUAGGCCGGGAACUCAAAGGAGACUGCCAGUGAUAAACUGGAGGAAGGUGGGGAUGACGUCAAGUCAUCAUGGCCCUUACGACCAGGGCUACACACGUGCUACAAUGGCAUAUACAAAGAGAAGCGACCUCGCGAGAGCAAGCGGACCUCAUAAAGUAUGUCGUAGUCCGGAUUGGAGUCUGCAACUCGACUCCAUGAAGUCGGAAUCGCUAGUAAUCGUAGAUCAGAAUGCUACGGUGAAUACGUUCCCGGGCCUUGUACACACCGCCCGUCACACCAUGGGAGUGGGUUGCAAAAGAAGUAGGUAGCUUAACCUUCGGGA
rnacentral:rRNA from 1 species